GAGGUGCAUUUUUGGUUGUGGAACUCACGGAACGCUUUUCCCUUUCCCUGAAAUUCCCUCGUUACGGUCCAGAUGGAUCGAUUUUAUUACAUUUCGAGGAAGGAGGGAUAACAAAGUGUUCACGGAUGGGCUCAAAGCACUUCACGCGCGAAUACUUCAAAAAUUGGACAGAACACGAAAUGGGGUUUGAGAUAUCUGUCAUUAACAGAUAACGCUGUCCCGUCAGUGUACACCGUUAGUACCUCACAAAGUUUGACGACGGUGAGUUGAAAUGAACCAUGUCUCAUGCAAUUGAACACACCUACUUAUCUAGAUCCAAUCAGGUGCUAGUUGGAAAAUAAGCCACGCCCACUAUUUUCCUCAUUUAUUAUUCCGUUUCUCUCGGAAAUACGUCACAACACUGGAGAAAAGCCGUUUGCAACUUCCGUUUCACGGAGACUUUAAAUGAACUAAAUUACUAAACGUGUCAUCAAGAAUCUGAGGGAUGUCAAAUCAGGCUCACAAGUCAGGUUUCUGGACCUAUAAAGGCAACGUGAUAGGAGCUUGGCUGAUGUGGCUGCAUUGUAGGGCAGAAUUUAGGGGCUGGUGAGGUGCUCUAGUCGAUGUGGUCCUCCUAAAAACAAAAAGCAAGCAACCCGACCAGAACAAUGGACACAACAACAUCAUGUCUGACACAAAGAGUAAAAAGUGCUCUGUCAGCAUAGUUGUAGAGUGCAACUUUUUAAUGGAGCCCUGGCUGAACUAUCAUUCUUUUCCCUACAUUCCAAGCAAGAAAUGUUAGUUCUUAAAACAUUUUAAAAAUGAAAAAUAUAUACAAAGAUUAAUUUUAGAAGUCAAUAGCUCUGAGAAUAAAUGUAAUUUCAGGUAUAGUGGUGCUUCUCAAUAAAUUAGAAUGCGGAGGAAAAAUUCAUUUAUUUCAGUAAUUCGACUCAAAUUAUGAAACUCUUGUAUUAAAUAAAAUCAAUAUGCACAGACUGAAGUAGUCUAAGUCUUUGGUUCUUUUAAUUGUGAUGAUUUUGGCUCACAUUUAACAAAAUCCACCAAUUCACGAUCUCAACAAAUUAGGAUAUGGUGACACACCAAUCAGCUGAUCAACUCAAAACACCUGCAAAGGUUUCCUGAGCUUUCAAAAUGGUCUCUCAGUUUGGUUCACUCGGCUACACAAUCAUGGGGAAGACUGCUGAUCUGACAGUUGUCCAGAAGACAAUCAUUGACACACUUCACAAGGAGGGUACACAAACCUUCAUUGCCAAAGAAGCUGGCUGUUCACAGAGUGCUGUAUCCAAGCAUGUUAACAGAAAGUUGAGUGGAACGAAAAAAAAGUGUGGAAGAAGAAGAUCAACCAAGAGAACUGCAGCCUUAUGAGGAUUGUCAAGCAAAAUUGAUUCAAGAAUUUGAGUGAACUUCACAAGGAAUGUACUGAGUGACUUUUGAAAACUAAAGUCACUGCACCCGUUUACCAAGAAAUCUUGGAGCAUUUCAUGCUUCCCUCUGCUGACCAGCUGUUUGAAGUUUGAAUUUUCAAAGGAGAAACAAGAGACCAAACAAUACAGAUGAGCUGAAGGCCAGUGUCAAAGAAACCUGGGCUUCCAUAUCACCUCAGCAGCGCCACAAACUGAUCACCUCCAUGCCACGCUGAACUAAGGAAUUAAUUAAAGCAAAAGGAGCCCCUACCAAAUAUUGAGUACAUGUACAGUAAAUGAAUAUACUUUCCAGAAGGCCAACAAUUCACAAAAUGGUUUUUUUUUUUUAUUGGUUUUAUGAAGUA